rnacentral:rRNA from 1 species
AGCAGCCGCGGUAAUUCCAGCUCCAAUAGCGUAUAUUAAAGUUGUUGCAGUUAAAAAGCUCGUAGUUGAAUUUCGGGGUUAGUAGACUGGUCGUGCCUCCGGUAUGUACUGGUCUUACUGAUUCCUCCUUCUUGAAGAACUGUAAUGCCAUUAAUUUGGUGUUAUGGGGAAUCUGGACUGUUACUUUGAAAAAUUAGAGUGUUUAAAGCAGGCUAACGCUUGAAUACAUUAGCAUGGAAUAAUGAAAUAGGACGUUCGAUCCUAUUUUGUUGGUUUCUAGGAUUGACGUAAUGAUUAAUAGGGAUAGUUGGGGGCAUUAGUAUUCAAUUGUCAGAGGUGAAAUUCUUGGAUUUAUUGAAGACUAACUACUGCGAAAGCAUUUGCCAAGGAUGUUUUCAUUAAUCAAGAACGAAAGUUAGGGGAUCGAAGACGAUCAGAUACCGUCGUAGUCUUAACCAUAAACUAUGCCGACUAGGGAUCGGAUGAUGUUAAUUU